rnacentral:rRNA from 1 species
AUGACUCGUCCACCUCAAAGCCGAGCUGCAGAGGGUGAACAGCAACAGAGUCAGGCAUUUGCAAUUUGUGAAGAAACUCACAGUUCAUCGGAUAAAAUGAGAGCAGGUUACCUCAUCUUGUGUCGAAAGAACGACUAUGUUAACACCGGUAAGCAGGGAGGAGCUUGGGUUUGCACCGUCGGCGUUGUGGUUCAGCUUCAUCAAAUCGAGCAUCCUCUGGAAGGCGUCCUUGAGGAUCGCCUUGCCGUCGGAGUACUUGCUUCCCGCCAUCGACAUGGUGGUGUUGUUGCUGACGUAGAGCCUCUGCGUCCCGUGGGACACCGUCUUGGGCAUCGGCCACAGGUCGAUAUGGUCGGCAGCUAUGCAGGAUCCAAUUGCCAGGAACACGAGGAGGAGCCGCAGAGCUAG